rnacentral:rRNA from 1 species
AUUGAACGCUGGCGGCAGGCUUAACACAUGCAAGUCGAGCGGGGUGAUGGUGCUUGCACUAUCACUUAGCGGCGGACGGGUGAGUAAUGCUUAGGAAUCUGCCUAUUAGUGGGGGACAACAUCUCGAAAGGGAUGCUAAUACCGCAUACGUCCUACGGGAGAAAGCAGGGGAUCACUUGUGACCUUGCGCUAAUAGAUGAGCCUAAGUCGGAUUAGCUAGUUGGUGGGGUAAAGGCCUACCAAGGCGACGAUCUGUAGCGGGUCUGAGAGGAUGAUCCGCCACACUGGGAAUGAGACACGGCCCAGACUCCUACGGGAGGCAGCAGUGGGGAAUAUUGGACAAUGGGGGGAACCCUGAUCCAGCCAUGCCGCGUGUGUGAAGAAGGCCUUAUGGUUGCAAAGCACUUUAAGCGAGGAGGAGGCUCUUUUGGUUAAUACCCAAGAUGAGUGGACGUUACUCGCAGAAUAAGCACCGGCUAACUCUGUGCCAGCCGCCGCAGUAA